AUGCUGCAGUGGCACCUCCGGAUGGGGCUCAAGGGGCAGCCAGCGAUCAUCUAUGGGGAGCUCUACAAUGAAGUGAAGGUGGAGGAAAGCUCGUGGCUCAUUGAGGACGGCAAGGUGGUGACUCUGCAUCUGGAGAAGAUCAAUAAGACGGAGUGGUGGAGCCGCUUGGUGUCCAGUGACCUUGAGAUCAAUACCAAGAAUAUUAACCCUGAGAAUUCCAAGCUGUCAGACCUGGACAGUGAGACUCGCAGCAUGGUGGAAAGGAUGAUGUAUGACCAGAGACAGAAGUCCAUGGGGCUGCAAACCUCAGACGAACAGAAGAAACAGGAGAUUCUGAAGCAGUUCAUUGGUCAGCAUCCAGAGAUGUAUUUUUGCAAGUCAGAGACCUCAGGGCCCCAGAUCAAGGAGCUAACUGACAAGACACAGAGAGGCUGCAGCUAGAGAUUGACCAGAAAAAGGAUGCAGAGAAUCAUGAGGCCCAGCUCAAGAAUGGCAGCCUUGACUCCCCCAGGAAAGCAGGAGACUGAGGAAGAUGAGGAGGAGGAAGAGAGAAGGAGAAAGGAAAACUGAAGCCCAACCUAGGCAACGGGGCAGACCUGCCCAAUUACCGCUGGACCCAGACGCUGUCGGAGCUGGACCUGGCAGUCCCUUUCCGUGUGAACUUCCGGCUGAAAGGGAAGGACGUGGUGGUAGACAUGCUGCAGUGGCACCUCCGGAUGGGGCUCAAGGGGCAGCCAGCGAUCAUCUAUGGGGAGCUCUACAAUGAAGUGAAGGUGGAGGAAAGCUCGUGGCUCAUUGAGGACGGCAAGGUGGUGACUCUGCAUCUGGAGAAGAUCAAUAAGACGGAGUGGUGGAGCCGCUUGGUGUCCAGUGACCUUGAGAUCAAUACCAAGAAUAUUAACCCUGAGAAUUCCAAGCUGUCAGACCUGGACAGUGAGACUCGCAGCAUGGUGGAAAGGAUGAUGUAUGACCAGAGACAGAAGUCCAUGGGGCUGCAAACCUCAGACGAACAGAAGAAACAGGAGAUUCUGAAGCAGUUCAUUGGUCAGCAUCCAGAGAUGUAUUUUUGCAAGGCUAAAUUCAACUAGCCCCUGUUUUUUCCUCCCUGAACUCUUGGAGCUGAGCUGCAACCACCCAGCUUUCUUUCCCACUCUUCUCUGGGACUUGUGGGCCUCAGGGCUUGGGGCAGGCAUGAGACUGGCCCAGGCACACAGGUCCCAGGGCAUCAGGGGAAAGGCUGGAGCUUGGGGUCUUGUCCUCCCCAGUUGGUCUACUGUUACACGUUAAAACGAUUUGCCCAGCU